rnacentral:misc_RNA from 1 species
GUCAUAGAAAAGAUGGUCCUUGACAAACCACUGGAUAAUCCAGAUGGAAAUUUUGCUCCUGGAAUCGGUGGAGGACAGUUGCAGCAUUCUGCCGUAGGAGAUGGAUCCUAUCGACCUGGACUGAAGCCUUGGCAAAAGCUUAGGCCUUCCAUAGAGAUUACAUGCAACAAUCAGGUCUUGUCAACAGACAUGAGCUUAGCCACAGUGAGAGCUUACAUAUGGAAGAAACCUGAGGAUCUGGUCCUUAACUACAGAGUGGUUCAGGGAAGGUGACUCCAUACAACUUUUGGGAGGAGAUGGGACUCGGCUCAUGAUGAUGGAAAUCUUGUGCUUGUGUAAAAUAUUGGGGGAAUACAUUGGUUCUUCAGGGGUGCUCAGCAUGAUCAGUCAUAUAAUGAUCUGUGUAAAUUUCGAAAACCAAUUGAUUUCUGGCCAUUCUCCAAACUAGCUGAGAAGAUCUUGGAUAGUGUUUUCCUUUAUUGGACAGAUGGUAUAUAACUUUUGAACUUCGUCUAGCCAUCAUGCAGCUAUUUUUGAUGGAUGUAGACCUAUAGGGCAAGUCUGCAUGAGGCAAUAGAAGGGUUUGUUACUGUUGAGAAUUAAUGGCAAGGAGUGUGCUAGAGGGUGCCAAAUUAGAGUUAUGAUGUCGAAAGUUUGUAGAUUUGUAUUGUUGGGUACGAUACAUAGCCAUAGAAAGUGUUAUUAAGGUUUUUCUUUUAUUUUUUUAAUGUUCGUUUCCCCCUUUUUGCGGAAAUAAUACAAUUCCCAUUCAUUUUG